rnacentral:rRNA from 1 species
AUUGAACGCUGGCGGCAUGCUUUACACAUGCAAGUCGAACGGCAGCGGGGUAGUGCUUGCACUACUGUCCGGCGAGUGGCGAACGGGUGAGUAAUAUAUCGGAACGUACCGAGUAAUGGGGGAUAACCAAUCGAAAGAUUGGCUAAUACCGCAUACGUCCUAAGGGAGAAAGCGGGGGAUCGCAAGACCUCGCGUUAUUCGAGCGGCCGAUAAUUGAUUAGCUAGUUGGUGGGGUAAAGGCCUACCAAGGCGACGAUCAGUAGCGGGUCUGAGAGGACGAUCCGCCACACUGGGACUGAGACACGGCCCAGACUCCUACGGGAGGCAGCAGUGGGGAAUUUUGGACAAUGGGGGCAACCCUGAUCCAGCCAUGCCGCGUGUAUGAAGAAGGCCUUCGGGUUGUAAAGUACUUUUGUUAGGGAAGAAAAGGGAAGUGCUAAUACCACUUUUUGCUGACGGUACCUAAAGAAUAAGCACCGGCUAACUACGUGCCAGCAGCCGCGGUAAUACGUAGGGUGCGAGCGUUAAUCGGAAUUACUGGGCGUAAAGCGAGCGCAGACGGUUAUUUAAGCAGGAUGUGAAAUCCCCGGGCUUAACCUGGGAACUGCGUUCUGAACUGGAUAGCUAGAGUGUGUCAGAGGGGGGUAGAAUUCCACGUGUAGCAGUGAAAUGCGUAGAGAUGUGGAGGAAUACCGAUGGCGAAGGCAGCCCCCUGGGAUAACACUGACGUUCAUGCUCGAAAGCGUGGGUAGCAAACAGG